rnacentral:rRNA from 1 species
UGUGUAAGCGAAGCGAUAUGUGGAGCGGUGAAAGGCUCAGUAACGGGCGAUUUAUUUGAUCUCCUGGGACGGACAACAUCGGGAAACUGAUGGGAAAACGUCUAAGUUGCAGUUAAAUGAUUGUGACGUAAACCAUAGUGUGCAGGAGAGUAAGAUGCCAUCCUAUCAGUUAGUAAGUAGGGUAAGGGCCUACUUAGACGAAGACGGGUACGGGGAAUGAGGGUUUGAUUCCGGAGAGGGAGCCUGAGAGAUGGCUACCAGGACCAAGGUCAGCAGCAGGCGCGAAAAUUAUCGAAGCCCGCCUAGGGGCGAUAGUGAGGAGACGUGUAUACGAAGUACGUGUAAAGACCGUACUAAUAACUGGAGGUCAAGUCUGGUGCCAGCAGCCGCG